GUGUCCGACCCCUACGGAUAUCCACUCAGGCUCGAAUUAGGAUAUUUUCUUUAGCUUCAAUUCAUCUUUACUAAGAUGGAUCAGCAAGCUUCUGAAUUUGCCUCCGAUCUGAUCUUCGGUAGGAUCUCAAUCAACCCUUGAUCGUAGCCUUCUUCUUCUUUCAUGUAGAUCGACUAGCACCCGACUCUUUGAGUACACCAAAUGGACCAGCCCAACUCCUUUGGGCAUGGGAGAGGAGAAGAGAAUGGAGAGGAGAAGGAGGAGGCAUGGAGAGGAGGGGAGAAGCUUUGAAUUUUUCAAUGCAUAAAACCUUAUGUCAGGGGACCUUUAUAUAGGCUUUAGAAACCUAAGAGUCUAAUGACUUAAAGCAGAAGGA
rnacentral:lncRNA from 1 species